AGAAAAAGAAAAUGGUGCCGUAUCAAUGGAUAUGAGCGAGCCAUCCACUGGGGAAGUUCCUCAAGCAAUGGACACAUCAGAGUCCGGAGCUCAAGGCCCAGUUUCUGGUGCUCCCAGCAUUUUCAGUUUUUUAGGAACGUCAUAAAAUAGUCUCUCAAAUGUCAUAUCCGGACACCGCUACAACAGCGCUGGCUCCACUCCCACUUACCAAGACCUCUGAAGGAAAAGUAGCUUAAGUAAUAAUUCGUUCCAAAAAUGUUUGCGGAUAUAGUUAAUUUUCCCACGUUUUUUCAAUGGACAUCUGGAUGUUUUGGAGUUUCAUGCUUCUUCAUUCAGCACAGUUUCUCUAAAUUUGUGUUCAACUAUCUUGA